rnacentral:rRNA from 1 species
UGAGAGGAGUCCUCCUUAGUACGAGAGGACCGGGAGGAACGAACCGCUGGUGUACCAGUUAUUCCGCCAGGAGUAGACGCUGGGUAGCCAAGUUCGGAGAGGAUAACCGCUGAAAGCAUCUAAGUGGGAAGCCCACCUUAAGAUGAGUGUUCUCACUACGAGAGUAGGUAAGGUCACGGGAAGAACACCCGUUGAUAGGCUUUAUGUGGAAGUACAGUAAUGUAUGUAGCAGAGAAGUCCUAACAGACCGAGGGCUUGACCUCAAA